rnacentral:rRNA from 1 species
ACGAACGCUGGCGGCAUGCCUAACACAUGCAAGUCGAACGAGACCUUCGGGUCUUGUGGCGCACGGGUGCGUAACGCGUGGGAACCUGCCCUUAGGUUCGGAAUAACUCCCCGAAAGGGGUGCUAAUACCGGAUAAUGUCUUCGGACCAAAGAUUUAUCGCCUUUGGAUGGGCCCGCGUUGGAUUAGCUAGUUGGUAGGGUAAAAGCCUACCAAGGCGACGAUCCAUAGCUGGUCUGAGAGGAUGAUCAGCCACACUGGGACUGAGACACGGCCCAGACUCCUACGGGAGGCAGCAGUGGGGAAUAUUGGACAAUGGGCGAAAGCCUGAUCCAGCAAUGCCGCGUGAGUGAUGAAGGCCUUAGGGUUGUAAAGCUCUUUUACCCGGGAUGAUAAUGACAGUACCGGGAGAAUAAGCUCCGGCUAACUCCGUG